rnacentral:lncRNA from 1 species
CUGGCUGGCAAAUCCUGAGCUUCACUCCAGGUGGUCACAAUCUGACCCUUGUGACCUCAUGCUUCCCCACCCCCAUUUGUGAAGUUCCAUCACAGGAAGUUCUUCUCCAGUGGCCCCUGAUCCAGGGAGACCCACCCUGCAACAGCCCUUGUCUCCCUCCGCCCUUGGUUCCUUCUCACCCAUCUCACCACCAUCUGCCCAGGGGAGCCACAUGUCCCAAAUUUUGGAGAGAAAAUAAUUGAGGCUCAUUUCCAGGACAGAGGGGCAAGCUGGGUCUAAAGAGCCAAGCAGAAAGGCUUCCCAAAAUCGCUAGGUUGGGAGGGGUCAGAGACGUGUGGCUGCCCCAGCUGUUCUGACUCUGCCCCAGCUUUUGGCUCCACCCCCUUAAAGCACCUUCAGAGGUUCCCAUGGCGACAGUAAACAAGUCUCCACUGCCUUGGCCAUGUGCUGUGUUCACCCCACUCCUGAUCUUGUUGGCUGCUCAGGGGCUGACAGCCCAGAUGUGCAGCUGUGAUGAGCAGAAACAGGGAGGAAUGGAGCCCCCAGCCAUUGUCAUCACUUCCUCAAGCUGUCUAAAUUCUGCCCAGCAGUCUGUGAAAAUGUUGUGCUGAUGACAUAUUAAGUCAUGUAUCCGUUAAAAGAAUAUCUGGAAACCUCCAAAAGGAAGCCAAGCAUAGACUAUUUGGAAGAACUUGAAGGAGCGAGAGCUGACCCCAUCUUUGUACACUGGCAGCACAAGGACAACAAUCAACACGGAAGACUUCUGUGACCAAAUGUGUGCACGUUUCUCUCCAUACACCAAGCAAGCAAUCUAUUCUGCAGCAGACACCAACUGGAAGUCCUCCAAUUCAAUUCAAUUCUGACACUGUCUACCUGGAAAUGGCCUCAGCAACCACAGGUUGAGAGCUCAGUCCCACAAGAACACCUCCUCCUUCCAACCAGUUGAAACUCCACACCUCCAGAACUUCUCACUGACUGGCUUCGAGUUGAGAAAAACAUCAAAAUGUUGUACAAAUUUGUAAGGAUUUGAUAAUAAAUUUUGGCAGAUGUCCAAUAUCAAGAUCACCAACCACUUCAUUAAUAAUUGUUGUUAAGUCAUGGAACUUGUCUGCAGAAAUUGUAUUCUUCCAAGCUUCUAACUGAGGAUUUUGCCCUUCAACCUUAUCUGCUGUGAAAAGACAUGUUUUUUUUUGCAAAGCAAUAUUAAGAUAAUUGAAAUAUCCAAAAUACUAGACAAAUGAGAAAGAUUCGUUGUCCAAUUUCAUCUUAAAGUCAAUAUCAAAUUGGUUGCUUACCUU